rnacentral:rRNA from 1 species
ACUCCUACGGGACGCAGCAGUGGGGAAUAUUGCACAAUGGGGGAAACCCUGAUGCAGCGACGCCGCGUGGGCGAGGAAGUACCUCGGUAUGUAAAGCCCUAUCAGCAGGGAAGAAACAGGACAGUACCUGACUAAGAAGCCCCGGCUAACUCCGUGCCAGCAGCCGCGGUAAUACGGAGGAUGCGAGCGUUAUCCGGAUUUAUUGGGUUUAAAGGGUGCGUAGGCGGUCCGGAAAGUCAGCGGUAAAAGCCCGGGGCUCAACCCCGGCGAGCCGUUGAAACUGUCGGACUAGAGACGGCGAGAAG